AGCGAACGUUUGCGGCGGGCUUAACACAUGCAAGUCGAACGAGAAUCCCUUCGGGGAGGAAAGUGGCGCACGGGUGCGUAACACGUGGAUAACCAACCCAUUGGUUUGGGACAACACCGGGAAACUGGUGCUAAUACCAGAUGUGUCGCAGCUGUCUUCAGGCGGUUGCGAGAAAGGCCCGCAAGGGUCGCCAACGGACGGGUCCGCGUCCCAUCAGCUAGUUGGUGAGGUAAUGGCUCACCAAGGCAAAGACGGGUAGCUGGUCUGAGAGGAUGAUCAGCCACACUAGAACUGAGACACGGUCCAGACUCCUACGGGAGGCAGCAGUGGGGAAUAUUGCGCAAUGGCGAAAGCCUGACGCAGCCACGCCGCGUGAGCGAUGAAGGUCUUCGGAUCGUAAAGCUCUGUGGGGGGAGAGAAGAAGCCGGUGAGAGCCGGCCUGACGGUAUCCCCUUAGCAAGCACCGGCUAACUCCGUGCCAG
rnacentral:rRNA from 1 species